rnacentral:rRNA from 1 species
GAUGAACGCUGGCGGCGUGCCUAAUACAUGCAAGUCGAACGCGAGAGGAGGGAGCUUGCUCCCUCUGAUCGAGUGGCGGACGGGUGAGUAACACGUAGGCAACCUGCCCAUCAGUCCGGGAUAACCGCGGGAAACCGUGGCUAAUACCGGAUGAUCCUCUCCACCGCGGGGUGGGGAGUUGAAAGACGGUUUCGGCUGUCGCUGAUGGAUGGGCCUGCGGCGCAUUAGCUGGUUGGCGGGGUAACGGCCCACCAAGGCAACGAUGCGUAGCCGACCUGAGAGGGUGAUCGGCCACACUGGGACUGAGAAGCGGCUCAGACUCCUACGGGAGGCAGCAGUAGGGAAUCUUCCGAAAUGGACGCAAGUCUGACGGAGCAACGCCGCGUGAGUGAAGAAGGGUUUCGGCUCGUAAAACUCUGUUGUUAAGGAAGAACGACAGGUAGAGUAACUGCUACCUGUGUGACGGUACUUAACCAGAAAGCCACGGCUAACUACGUGCCAGCCGCCGCCGUAA